rnacentral:rRNA from 1 species
UGAGGAAUAUUGGUCAAUGGGCGAGAGCCUGAACCAGCCAAGUCGCGUGAAGGAAGACAGUCCUAAGGAUUGUAAACUUCUUUUAUACGGGACUAACGGGCGAUACGAGUAUUGCAUUGAAUGUACCGUAAGAAUAAGCAUCGGCUAACUCCGUGCCAGCAGCCGCGGUAAUACGGAGGAUGCGAGCGUUAUCCGGAUUUAUUGGGUUUAAAGGGUGCGUAGGUUGUUCGGUAAGUCAGCGGUGAAACCUGAGCGCUCAACGUUCAGCCUGCCGUUGAAACUGCCGGGCUUGAGUUCAGUGACGGCAGGCGGAAUUCGUGGUGUAGAGGUGAAAUGCAUAGAUAUCACAAGGAACUCCGAUUGCGAAGGCAGCUUGCCAUACUGCGACAGACACUGAAGCACGAAGGCGUGGGUAUCAAACAGG